rnacentral:rRNA from 1 species
UACGUAGGGGGCAAGCGUUGUCCGGAUUUAUUGGGCGUAAAGAGCGUGUAGGCGGCCUUACAGGUCAGCUGUGAAAACUCGAGGCUCAACCUCGAGACGUCGGUUGAAACCGUAAGGCUAGAGUCCGGAAGAGGAGAGUGGAAUUCCCGGUGUAGCGGUGAAAUGCGCAGAUAUCGGGAAGAACACCCGUGGCGAAGGCGGCCAACUGGGCCGGACCUGACGCUGAGGCGCGAAGGCGUGGGGAGCGAACGGG